UCGCCGCUGCCCAGUUGUUGGCGUGGCUGCAACUGCAAUGCAGAUGCCAUGGGCUUCACUUCUUUGGAAACAAUGCCAUGGGCUUAGCAACGAGACACGGCCCAAAACUCCCGAUUGAAAAAGCACCGUCACCACCAUUACCGCUCAUAUGGACGCCGACUCCAUGUCCUGCUCACUGCAGAGUGCAGAGAGGUCCGGUGAGUUCUUCCUCCCCAUCCUUCUACCUUCUCGGCAAAGUGUUUUGACCUUCACCAGCCGAUGGAUACAGCUAUGGAGGGGAGUUUGCCGCCAGCUCCCUCGUGACUCGUGCCGCCAUGGAUCGGAGUACGGUGGGUGUGGCAGGCCCGAUACUAAAGCUUGAUGCUUCUAAAUGAAGUCACAACGUCUGUUCCAAUCGGAGCUCAAGGUGCGAGACGACGAGAGCUUUUCCAAACGGGAGUUUUAGGCCAUGUUUCGUUGCUAUUCAGUCAAAGCCCACUGUAUUGUUUCUAAACAAGCGAAGCCCAGCAAGUUGUUUUUCAUAACCGCAAUAAUCUCGCCUCAGCCUGUAGCCCCUGUCCGAUACAAUUAAUAGUUCUAUAGGAUGCUCGUGUGUUGAUAAAAUGUUAGAUAGUCUGUAAGUGAUAUUUCUAUAUCUAUACUAUACUUAAAGCACCA